AGCGAACGCUGGCGGCAGGCCUAACACAUGCAAGUCGAACGAACCUUUCGGGGUUAGUGGCGGACGGGUGAGUAACACGUGGGAACGUGCCUUUAGGUUCGGAAUAACUCAGGGAAACUUGUGCUAAUACCGAAUGUGCCCUUCGGGGGAAAGAUUUAUCGCCUUUAGAGCGGCCCGCGUCUGAUUAGCUAGUUGGUUGAGGUAAUGGCUCACCAAGGCGACGAUCAGUAGCUGGUCUGAGAGGAUGAUCAGCCACAUUGGGACUGAGACACGGCCCAAACUCCUACGGGAGGCAGCAGUGGGGAAUCUUGCGCAAUGGGCGAAAGCCUGACGCAGCCAGGCCGCGUGAAUGAUGAAGGUCUUAGGAUUGUAAAAUUCUUUCAACGGGGACGAUAAUGACGGUACCCGGAGAAGAAGCCCCGGCUAACUUCGUG
rnacentral:rRNA from 1 species